rnacentral:lncRNA from 1 species
GGAAGUGUGCACGUACUCAAACUUUUCUAUAUUUGACUAAUUAAUAAGAAUAACUCGAAUUGGUAAUAUAGAAAUUUUACUCUAUAGUUCAUCAUAAAAAUAGCUUCACAAUAUUAUCUUUAAUCAUUUACAUAUACAGAAGGUAACCGUCAAAGUUGCAUAGUGGAUCGAUCAAGACAAUGCAAAGUAAAAAAAAAACAUCGUCUAUAAUAUUCUAAAACAUAGAGAGUAAUUGCACAUAAUUUCUUUCAACUACCUCACUAGCUAGAUCAGUGUCCUACAUACACCAUAGAAGAGAAAAAAAGGAAUUUUCUCUCAUAUAUAGUUUCCUUUGUGCACCUCGGUGCACCGUUGAUAAAAAAACUCACAU